GUUUCUGUAGAGUAGUGGUCAUAACGGGCGCUUCACACGCGCAAGGUACCAGUUCGAUCCUGGGCGGAAACA
rnacentral:tRNA from 1 species